GGGUUUCACUCCUAUCUAUUCUAGUGACCUACCUAUCGUUGCUUCGGCGGACUCGCCCCAGCCCGGACGCGGACUGGACCAGCGGCCCGCCGGGGACCUCAAACUCUUGUAUUCCAGCAUCUUCUGAAUACGCCGCAAGGCAAAACAAAUGAAUCAAAACUUUCAACAACGGAUCUCUUGGCUCUGGCAUCGAUGAAGAACGCAGCGAAACGCGAUAAGUAAUGUGAAUUGCAGAAUCCAGUGAAUCAUCGAAUCUUUGAACGCACAUUGCGCCCGCCAGCAUUCUGGCGGGCAUGCCUGUUCGAGCGUCAUUUCAACCCUCGACCUCCCCUUGGGGAGGUCGGCGUUGGGGACCGGCAGCACACCGCCGGCCCUGAAAUGGAGUGGCGGCCCGUCCGCGGCGACCUCUGCGCAGUAAUACAGCUCGCACCGGGACCCCGACGCGGCCACGCCGUAAAACACCCAACUUCUGAACGUUGACCUCGAAUCAGGUAGGACUACCCGCUGAAUUAA
rnacentral:rRNA from 1 species